GAGCGGUCUGACACGGGGGAGGCGUCGCGCAGCAGCAGGAGAACGCACAGCAGCAGGGGGGCGUCCCGCGACGCCGAGGAUGUCAGGCAGAGGACAGUGGUCCGGGAGCUAGGACAAUGAUCCUUGAAGGAAAAGAAGCCAAGCAAGAAGGAAGGGAAGGCUGGCCGAGAGCUUGAGAGGGGGGAAGGAGAGCCAAAACCGAGAGAAAAUCGGAGGAGAGAUCGGGGGAAGUCUGGCUGGAUGGGAAAAGGGGAAAUUUUUAUGGUUUUCCGGUGACUGACCGGAGGAGAGAGUGGUGAGAUUUGGCUUGAGAAAGAGGAGUUCCUUCGCUCGUCGCUCACCGGCACGGCUGUCGACUUUUGCCGGAAAUCAAUUCGUCGAUCGUCGUUCGUUCGUCACCGUAGCCACUUCCAUCCGCGGGACAGAAGGUUUCAGCGUGGGAACACCGCCAUCCGCACAACUACAACACAAGGGGCUUUCUCAGGCAUGAGCGAUGCAUCUCAACUGAAUCAAGGAAGCCAUUUGAGCAGUAUAAUGGAGGAACAAAGGUUUCAUGGAACUCCUGCUUCAUGAUCUUCACCAGAUCAGCCGUCUUCACCCCACCCCCGGAACUGGGACUUUACUCGACUGUCCAGUUCUUAGGAGAGAAACCGAGAAUAAGGAGAUUUUCGCUUGUUCGCCGGUGGCCCAACCGAGUCGCCGUCGUUCCCGUCGAAGGUUCCAUUUGCCGGCCUCCAUUCAUCGUCAAAGAAGCCACCCGAACCAGGUAGGUCCACAUUUUCAUUUUGCUCUGUUUUGGCCCCCUUCUCCUGCCUCUCGGGAGCCAAACACACCGGAUCUGUUCGGUGCUUGUCUGGCUCCGUCCAUGGAGGAUAACGCUCGUUUGACACUCAAAGAAGCUCUUUUAAACGUUUCAGACCGAGAAUAGGUCAGGAGUUUUGUCAAAAUCAAACCUGUUUCUGCAUUUUUCGACCGCACCUAACAUGUUUGACAAAAUGUCCCAGGGGGACAGUACAAGCUUAGAACGUUAAAUCUGGUCAUGUGUUUUUUUUAGCUUUUCAUUGAAAAAUGCGACAAUCUUCUGGUGAGAUAUGGAUGUUUAGAUCCUUGUACAUCACAACUGAUCCGAAAAUCGCAUUGAAUCUCACUCUAGACCAUUUUUCUGAACUUGCACAUCACAUGCUCGGUGAAAUGUCUAAAUGGAGGUCCGAAUCACUUUUUGUGGAAUCGGUGCUUGGAACUCGAUUUUUAUGCUUCAUUAGUUCUCACAUUUGUCGAAUGGUGUCUGACUUCGUGUUUUCUCUGUGAUUUCUUUCGAACUCCGGUUCGAGUCGGCCAUGUGUCCACCUCCCACCCGCUGGAAUGCUUUUCGUCAAUGUGAUGCCUGCGGUUCGAGGCCGCCACCUUUUUGCUCGUCGACUCAUUUUCAUGGCCGGGGUUAGUCGACGGUUCGGUAGCUGCGUUGGCCAGCGGCGAGGGUCUAGAACCGGUGGCGGUCGUCGGUGUUGGCCGCGCAAGCCGGCGGUCAGGGGGCGAUGAGGUUCCCGGCGUGGUCUCGGCUGGAGGCGUGAGGAAGGAGGCUCUCGGUGGGCUCCCAGCGUCAGUUUGUGAGGAAUAGAAGACGUGGGGGGAGGAAACAAUAAAAAAUUAAAGAGAAAAAGAGAUAGAAAAAAAGAAAAGAGGGAAAAUAAAAAAAAAUAAAAAAAAAAUUAGAAAAGAAAUAGAAAAAGGGGUCCCGGGCGGGUCAGGAGAGCCGGGUCGGAUCGGGUCGGAAGAUCCGGUCCGAAGUGCUUAUUUUAUUAAAAAAAUUCAAAAAAAUUAAAAAAAACUCAAAAAAAUUCCAAAAAAAUCAGAAAAUUAAGAAAUAUUUAGAAAUUAGUUUUUGGAUUAAUUUCAUUAGAUCUUAAUGUUAAUUUCAUUUUAGAUUUAGUUUAAAAACUUGUAAAAAUUGAGAAAACCCUUUAAAAAUUUCCUAAAAAAUUGGACAAGCCAUUAGGGCUUUGCUUUAAAGCUUUUGAUUUCCUUUUCUUUUUUAGAAACGAUACUGGAUCGCAGGUUGAUUAUUUUUUUUAUGAUUAUCUAGUUGCGCACCUUUGAUACAUUAGUUGUUAUUUUCCAUUUAUAGCAUGGUUAGGUGGAAUCUUAAACUUUUUGGAUAGGCUGUCAAGUGCGUUAGUUUGCGAACGUUCAAGUUUAGGUACCGAAAGGAUACUAGUUAGAUCGCUAGUAUAAUCAAGUCCCCGAUCUUUAGAAUCUCUGGUUUUCGCACCUAUCUAGACGACACUCCCGCGUCUCGAUUAGGGUUUCUAGCCAACCCUUAAUUAUGGCUAGUAGCGACUCCAAUUGAAUGCUUAGUUUAGACAAUUCUCGUCACAUGAGGUAUGAGGCUUGGAAGCGCAUCGGUUCUUGGAUUAAUGAACCAUUUGGUUUGUCCUUCAAAUGAAUCAAUCAAUGUUUACAUCCAUCGACGAAUAUCUCUUGACCUAUUCAAUCAUUUUUCCCCCGAUCGUGACGGGUAGGUCGCCACAAUCUUCUAAUAAUACCUUCUAAGGGAUGGUGCCUACAAAAUGCGGAACCAGAAGUUCGGAUUUUGGAAAAACUCUAUCAUUUACAAUGAACACUUAAUCUGGAUAAAUACAAAACAGCUUUCUAAUUUUGGUAGAAAAGUCAAAUGGGACUUGUUAGAGGGACUCGUAUCAAACCAAACAGGAAGGUAUUCUAACCUCACGAGGGUUAAGCAGAAAUAGACAUCUUGGGCAAAAGCGUGAUAAAUCAUUGUUGAUUCAGCAGCGGAAGAACUCCCAGGGGUGAUUGACCCAGGGAUAGUCACUUAAGUCAUCAGUAAAUGCUGCUUUCGGAUCAAUUUCACCAAGGCCAGCUAAUAUACAUAAGAUGGAACUGAAAAUCGAAUUAGGCAUUGGAAAGAAAGUCGUUACAAUCAAUUUCUCAUUUGCGGAUGACUCUCUGGUAAAGAUUGGGUUGUUCUAUAUUUUGAUUGAAACUACAUUGGGUGCUUAUAAAGGAUUAACAUGUGAGGGUUUAGCCUCGAUGGUAAUCAAAGUAGAUUUCUUGUCGUUACGGUUAAUUUGAGAGAUUUAUGUCAAUGGCUUUCGUCACCUUCAUUUUCUUCGUUUCUAUAUUCACGUGAAAGAUUAUUUCAUGUACUCAUAAAAGUAGAAGUUAGUUGGUAGAUCAUACCCACAUUACUUGCUAGACUAAAUUUACACGAAAAGACGGAUUAUGGUGCUGAUGCUAACAUUGAUGCUAACAUAGAUGUAAACCUUCGGACUGAAAAAUUUAUAUUAAGCAGCAUAUAAUCUAAGAGAUAGAUAGGUGGUUAGUAGCACAACUAUGGUUCAAAUCGCAUUCUUCAAAUGUGACUGAAGACCUUUUCAUACUAAUUGCCUUUGGCGUGCAGGACAACAUAAACUACCGUGCCACAGCUAGUGAAAUUCAAAGCCAAUUUGGGCAGCAAUUUGUUUAUAUCUAGGGAUGGAUAAGGAGCAUUGGCCAUCCUUUGACGGCAAAUUAAUGAGAAGUCACAAUGUGAUGGCAGCAAUGAGUUUACAAUCUAUAGUUGUGCACUAGAUCAGAUCAACAAGAGAGUAAAUGAUGAGUAUGUUAACAGCCGAGUGGGUGAGCAGUGGAAGUUUAAUUCUCCUGAUUCCUGGAUCGCACCAUUAUAAUUCUAUAAACACCACCACAAAGUGAUCAAUUAUGCUAUGUAAACAGAUCACUCUACUUCACACCCUCUUUACCUUGGAAAGAUGAAUGUAAAAUGUCUAUUUCAACAAAACCCCAACACGAAGCAAUGAUCAUCAAGAGACUACAACCAACAAUGCGUACAAGUUUGUAGUUAGCCUAAAUUUGAAUAAGCUUGUGCAUUCAGCAAAAGUUCCAGCUUCCAUCGAGAAAAGGAGCUAUUUGGCUGCUCAUAUGCAUAUCUUGCUAAAAAGCUUUCACUUUGAAAUUCGUAUAAGAAAGUCUCAUGGUUGGGUUUAACAGAUCUUCGUGCACAACUUGGCCAAUGAAAAAUCGAAACCGAACCGAAGCAUGUAAGGAGAACCUUUAGGUUGUCGGCUUUCCUACAUCUUUGGUCCUUUUUCUGCUCUCUGCUUCUUCUGCUUCUGUUUGUUCUUUUCUUUCGAAGAUGUAGCUCCUACAGCUUCAAAUUUCUCAGCAAAAAUGUUCUCGCUCAGUCUCUCCAAGCGCGCCUAGAAUAAGAGGCAUUAUGAGAAGACUAUUUGGUCCAAAGAGAAAAGGAAAACAAGGAUGCAACAAAAGAUCUUAGCACUUACCCUUAGAAAUGACUUUACAAGACGCAGCAAUGUUGAUUGAUAAUCAUGCUCAGAGAGACCCUGGAGCUUAUCCUCCAUCUGCUGCACCAUGGAAACUUCUCUCAAUAUUCUGGCGUCAAUUUUGACUAUUUACAUGAGCAAACAAUGCUAAUUACUAACUCAAAUAUCCUGCUUUCAAUAGGAAAAUAGAAAGUAAUCCUAACCUCAUGAGAAACUUGGUUCUUCUACCUACAUAUUGCAAGUUUGAUGCAAAUAUCUUCUGCACUAGAUGCCAAACCACAUGGCCUCCAAGAAAAGCUACCACAAGCAGCUACCUUACAAUUCAAAUAAGCAUUCAGAGUUUCAGCACAUUUUAAAACAUUGGAUAUUGCAUCCAUCUUGCACCUACUCUUGAGGUUCGUGCUUUUGUGUAUCUUCUUAAGCUCACUCAAUCGCUCCCUCAAACCAAACAUGUUGCUCCGAUUUACACACCUGGGGCCGCUUGAUUUUGCCCCACCUUCUUCGUGAACCUCCUAGAUAUUCACAGAAUCCUCCACAAGGGAAGCAUUGAGAUCUUGGAAACAUAGUACCAAGGAGAAGAUACGUCAAGGUGAGGAAGUACUCAAGAUGCUUUAGGAGCAAUACGAUGACCUCCGCCGCCUUUGUGACCGGAAACCUGAGCUUCUAAACUCUGAAGAAGCAUUAAUUGCACUCGAGCAUCUGGUUUAUGAAGAAGUCAGGGCAAAAUCAAGCAAUCCCGGGUGUGUAAAUCGGAGCAAUAUGUUUGUUUUGAGGGAGCGAUUGAGUCAGCUUAAGAAGAUACACAAAAACAUGAACCUCAAGAGUAGAUGCGAUAUGGAUGCAAUAUCCAAUGUCUUAGAAUGUGCUGAAUGUGCUGAAACUCUGAAUGCUUAUCUGAAUUGUAAGGUAGCUGCUUGUGGUAGCAUGUCUUGGAGGCCAUGUGGUUUGGCAUCUAGUGCAAAAGAUACUUGCAUCAAACUUGCAAUGUGUAAGCAAAAAACCAAGUUUCUCAUGAGAUAGUCAAAAUUGACGCCAAAAUACUGAGAGAAGUUUCCAUGGUGCAGCAGAUGGAGGAUAAGCUCCAAGGUCUCUCUAUGCAUGAUUAUCAAUCAACAUUGUUGCCUCUUGUAAAGUUAUUUCUAAGGGCACACUUUAAAAAUUUGAGCGAGAACAUUUCUGUCGAGAAAUUUGAAGCUGGAGGAGCUACAUCUUUGAAAGAAAAGAACAAGCAGAAGCGGAGAGCAGGAAAAGGACCAAAGAUGUAGGAAAGCCAACAACCUGAAGGUUCUCCUUACAUGCUAUGGUUUGGUUUUGAUUUUUCAUUGGCCAAGUUGUGCUGGAAAAUCCGUUGAACCCAGCCAUGAGACUUUGUUAUACAAAUUUCGAAGUCAAAGCUUGUAAGCAAGAUAUGCAUAUAAGCAGCCAAACACAAUGUUGACAACAACAAUCGAUUUUCUUAUGCAACAGUUUCUUUUCCCUAUGGAAGUCGGACCUUUUGUUGA